AGAUGGUAGACACUUCCCUUCCCAUUCCACUAUUUUAAUGGCGUCCUUCAUAAUUUAGCCUUAAAUUGCAAUCACUAACAGAAACAUUUGGGGAUUCCUCCAUUUCUACAAGGUCCCAUCAUUGCCAGCUCCUUCCCUGCUCUGUCUCUAACCCCACCUACACUGUACUCUCCACUCUCUAUUUCUUUUUGGGUUUCUCAACUUCUUCUCAUUGCUCUGCAUCUCUUUCUUUUUAUCUGUUCUUCUCUGUUUACGUGACAAACGUUUCUGUAUAGGCUGCCACAGGAAACCGACAGCAACUGUGAGUUGAGGAAGAAGAAGAAAGAAGAGCCAUAAAUGUCUAAGUACUCUUUCUUGAACGAUCAGCUCUCCAAGAGAACCUCAAUCUUCGGUUUACGUUUAUGGGUAGUUCUUGGUGUCUGUGUAGGAGCUGCCAUUGUUCUUGUCCUUUUCCUUAUUUCUCUCUGGUUCACUUCUAAACGCAACAAGACUAAUAAAAAUGCUGCUCACUAUAAAUUCAUGUCGUCUCUCAACAACCCCACAAUUCCCAGCGUCUCGAAGGAAAUCCAGGAGAUAAGUGUAGACCCUUCACACCCGACCCCUGAUGCUAAGCCGAUGAGCCCGGAACCAGUGCCGGAAUCGGAUCCUGUCCUGCUUCUACAGAAUGAAGAGAAUACUAGUCCUGUCGGUGGGCGAAACAGAAUUCACAUAGAGAUUAGGAAGGACCACAGAAUAUCUUAUGGGUCGGGUUAUGGAAGCGGAGAGACCCGGUCUGGUCCUCGUUCCGGUGAUCAGGGCGGUACGGUAAUAACAGUGCCAGAGGUGUCACAUUUGGGAUGGGGCCACUGGUACACCCUCAGGGAGCUUGAGUUCUCUACUAAUGGUUUUGCUGACGAGAAUGUGAUUGGCGAAGGUGGGUAUGGGAUUGUUUACCGGGGUGUUAUGGAGGACAAUUCUAAAGUUGCCAUUAAAAACUUGCUUAACAACAGGGGACAAGCUGAGAAGGAGUUUAAAGUAGAAGUUGAAGCAAUAGGACGGGUGCGGCACAAGAAUUUGGCGAGGUUGCUUGGUUAUUGUGCUGAAGGAGCUCAUAGGAUGCUUGUAUACGAGUAUGUUGACAAUGGUAACUUAGAACAGUGGCUUCAUGGAGAUGUUGGACCUUGCAGCCCUCUCACAUGGGAGAUUCGCAUGAAUAUAGUACUUGGAACAGCAAAAGGGUUGACUUACCUGCAUGAAGGACUUGAACCCAAGGUUGUUCAUCGUGAUAUAAAAUCAAGCAACAUUUUACUUGAUAAGCAGUGGAAUGCUAAAGUAUCUGAUUUUGGCCUUGCGAAACUCUUAGGCUCAGAGCGGAGUUAUGUGACCACUCGUGUAAUGGGAACAUUUGGAUAUGUGGCUCCAGAAUAUGCUGGUACUGGCAUGCUGAAUGAAAGAAGUGAUGUAUACAGCUUUGGGAUACUUCUUAUGGAAAUUAUUUCUGGAAGAAACCCAGUUGAUUACAGCCGCCCUCCUGGAGAGGUGAAUCUAGUUGAAUGGCUUAAAACAAUGGUUACAAAUCGGAAUGCAGAAGGAGUUUUGGAUCCUAGAUUGCCAGAGAAGCCUUCUUCAAGGGCACUGAAGCGUGCCCUUUUAGUAGCUUUACGCUGUGUGGAUCCAAAUGCACAAAAAAGGCCAAAGAUGGGGCAUGUGAUACAUAUGCUCGAAGCUGAUGAGUUUCCCUUCCGAGAUGACCGCAGAACUGUAAAGGAAAAUGGGCGAGCUCAUUUUGAUGGUGAGAAAACAGAUAAGCGGGUAAUUGAAUCUGGUGACAGUAGCGGUUACGAAAGUGGUGCUCAAACCAAUAUAUCAUUGUGGAGAAAACAAGAGCCUGAAGAACACUUAUUCGGAGCCCCUGAGAAAGAUUCUUACUCGCACUAAGGUAUUUAUACACUCAGGCAAAUAGCAAGCUGUCAGUAUGCAUUUUCACAGAGGCUGCGAGGGCCCAUUUAUGACAAAAGAAACCUAAACAGCUAGAUGUGAACAAGGGAUAUGUAUCUUUGGGUCCCUCCAAUGUGUUGAGUGUUGUUGAUUCUGGUCUUAAAGGAUAUAGAAGGUGUGGAAACCUUUGUCUUCUGUUUCUAUAUUCGGCUUUCUUCUGUCUUAAGACCUAUUGUAACAUUCCGCAUAUCCACUUUUGGUGGUCUUAAGUUUAUUCAUUGUCGCUUUAUUGACUGAACUCCCCAAGUUUUCUCGGGAAAAAGGAGAAAAAGAAAAGAGUCUCUAUGUAUAGUGGCCUUAAAUCCAUGAAAUUGUUGGUGGUCUUCCAGUCUACCCAAUAUGGGCCACAGCUCAAAAGUCUCAGGCAUGAGCUGAAUGCUUGUCCUAUUUGUUAAAUUCAAGGCGGAAGUUAGACAAUGGAAUCUUGGUCUAAUGCUAAAAUUAGCAAAAAUUGAGGCCCCAAGAUCCAUUUUUUAUCCUUCUCUCAAAGAUGUAAGGAUAAGGCUCCAGCCCUAAACACGAAUAGACUAAGAAUUUUUAGGCCUAAUAAAAGCCCUUGAAGAAUAUAAACAAGCCCUAAAGACCCAACCCAUUUUUGAUCCAACCAACCCGGAUGAAAACUCAAAAGCGCCAAUCCUUGACUAGAACAAAUACCACCAUUUUUAUCGGCGGCCAAAAAGUUUCUCCUACAGUAGCCCAAAGCAACCAUACGAACUAAGUGAAGCAACAUGGAGAAAGAACAAUACAAUGACUCAUUAGCAGUUUCUAGAUUUCAAGGGGAGAACAACUUUGACUGAAACUGGGGCAUGCAUUGUCGGAUCGAAAGCAAACAGUGAUAAUGACUUUUUAAGGAAGCGGAAGCAACAUCUGUUCCAACAAAAUAGUACUUCUUUUAAAAAGAAAAGGAGAUUGUAAGGCUCUGAACAAAGUCCAAGCCCUGUUGGAGAGAAUGGAAGCAUCGUGGAGGCCUUCCUGUGCUGAUAUUCCUGAAUCAUGAUGUCCGUCCCCUCUGGAUUUUCUUAAACUCGACUGUAAUGUCACUAGGAAGCAGGGCAGCUCCAAAGCCUUCGUAGUGUGGUAGUUCGCAAUUAUGCAGGGAAGAUGAUUGAAUGGUCUUGAGAGCAAUGUUGCGGCUCCUACUCCGCUGGCUGGGGAAGCGAAGGCCCUGUUGGAAGCAUUGAAAUCGGAAUGGGUAUUAGUAAUAUUGUGGUCAAGACUAGCUCUUCUAUUCUGCAUUCGGCGAUUACAGAUUCAGGUAGCAAUAAUUGUUGUGACUUGGAAGAUUCAAGCUUCUGCUAUGGCAAUUAAGCACCAAGAAGCCCAGUUUUCAGAAAUUUCAUCCUUCCCUUUCGUCAGAAAAGCAGCUUAUAAAGCUGCAUAUUGUCUUGCAAAAUUGCAGUUUAUUUGCAAUCCAAUCCAUUAUAACUA